AGGUCCUGUCUCACUUUAGCAAAGAGGUACCUUGUGAAAGCUCUGAAGAGGUGGAGAGACAAAAUGUGCAUCAAAAAUUUAAUGAGCUUUUAGGUUAUCCUCAUGGAAUCUCAGUUCACCCACCCAAUAAGACUGAUCACUUCACUCAGCUGAAAUGGAUAGCAUAGAGCUCAGAGAAAUCACACCAAACUUCCAGUACAAUAUGUGAGUUCAGAAUUGGGAACAGUCUCUUUGGUAUAUUAAUUGGGAAACUUUAAGAAGCUAUUGUAAUGCUAUGCAGCUGAGAUUUUAAGUCUUUGUACUUUAGUCAGAGAAUCAUGCAAAAUAUUUCAUUCAAUCUUCCAUUGCAUCUCUUCCCAGAAGAAUAAAAAAAAUCAAAUGUGAUUUCUGCUUCUCCUGUAAUCCUUGUUUCUGUGUAGAAAUACAGCAUAUUUCUGAUAGUCUAGUGGCAUAUCUUAACAAAAAGUUUCAGUUAAGAGACAGAUUUUUCAAGACAACUUUAUGUUAAAUUUUCAUGAAGCAUCAAAAACUUUUUUUUGGA